rnacentral:rRNA from 1 species
GACGAACGCUGGCGGCGUGCCUAAUACAUGCAAGUUGAGCGCUGAAGGUUGGUACUUGUACCAACUGGAUGAGCAGCGAACGGGUGAGUAACGCGUGGGGAAUCUGCCUUUGAGCGGGGGACAACAUUUGGAAACGAAUGCUAAUACCGCAUAAAAACUUUAAACACAAGUUUUAAGUUUGAAAGAUGCAAUUGCAUCACUCAAAGAUGAUCCCGCGUUGUAUUAGCUAGUUGGUGAGGUAAAGGCUCACCAAGGCGAUGAUACAUAGCCGACCUGAGAGGGUGAUCGGACACAAUGGGAAUGGGACACGGCCCAAACUCCUACGGGAGGCAGCAGUAGGGAAUCUUCGGCAAUGGACGAAAGUCUGACCGAGCAACGCCGCGUGAGUGAAGAAGGUUUUCGGAUCGUAAAACUCUGUUGGUAGAGAAGAACGUUGGUGAGAGUGGAAAGCUCAUCAAGUGACGGUAACUACCCAGAAAGGGACGGCUAACUACGUG